rnacentral:rRNA from 1 species
CAGAGGGUGCAAGCGUUGUUCGGAAUUAUUGGGCGUAAAGGGCGCGUAGGCGGUUCUUCAGGUCGGAUGUGAAAGCCCAGGGCUCAACCUUGGAAGUGCAUUCGAAACCGGAGAACUAGAGUUCAUGGAGAGGGCAGUGGAAUUCCCAGUGUAGAGGUGAAAUUCGUAGAUAUUGGGAGGAACACCAGUGGCGAAGGCGACUGCCUGGACAGAACUGACGCUGAGGCGCGAGAGCGUGGUAGCAAACAGGAUU